rnacentral:rRNA from 1 species
AAUGAACGUUGGCGGCGUGGAUUAGGCAUGCAAGUCGAGCGGUAGGGAACUGCUCACUUCAUGCUGUUUGGCUAAUAGCUAAUAGCUAACAGCUUCGAAGUGAGCAGUUCCUGAGAGCGGCGAAAGGGAGAGUAACGCGUAGUUACGUGCCCCGAGGACCGGAAUAGCCACGGGAAACUGUGGGUAAUGCCGGAUGUUAUCUUCGGAUUAAAGGUGUGAGCCCGCCUUGGGAGCGGACUGCGUUGUACUAGCUAGUUGGUAGGGUAAUGGCCUACCAAGGCGAUGAUGCAUAGCGGGCGUGAGAGCGUGGCCCGUCUCACUGGGACUGAGACACUGCCCAGACACCUACGGGUGGCUGCAGUCGAGAAUCUUCGGCAAUGCGCGCAAGCGUGACCCGAGCGACGCCGUGUGU